CUACGGGAGGCUGCAGUGGGGAAUAUUGCACAAUGGGCGCAAGCCUGAUGCAGCCAUGCCGCGUGUAUGAAGAAGGCCUUCGGGUUGUAAAGUACUUUCAGUAAGGAGGAAGGUGGAGUCGUUAAUAGCGGCUUUAUUUGACGUUACUUACAGAAGAAGCACCGGCUAACUCCGUGCCAGCAGCCGCGGUAAUACGGAGGGUGCGAGCGUUAAUCGGAAUUACUGGGCGUAAAGCGCAUGCAGGUGGUCUGUUAAGUCAGAUGUGAAAGCCCCGGGCUCAACCCGGGAUGGUCAUUUGAAACUGGCAGGCUAGAGUACUGUAGAGGGGGGUAGAAUUUCAGGUGUAGCGGUGAAAUGCGUAGAGAUCUGAAGGAAUACCGAUGGCGAAGGCGGCCCCCUGGACAGAUACUGACACUCAGAUGCGAAAGCGUGGGGAGCAAACAGGAUUAGAUACCCGCGUAGUC
rnacentral:rRNA from 1 species